rnacentral:RNase_P_RNA from 1 species
CCAGACGGCCGGAUGGCCGCCUUCCGCGCUCCGCGCGGGAGGAGGAAAGUCCGGGCUCCACGGAAACACGGUGCCGGGUAACGCCCGGCGGGGGCGACCCCAGGGAAAGUGCCACAGAAAGCAAACCGCCGGCCCAGGUCGCGGUCCCUUCGCGGGACGGACCGCCGGCAAGGGUGAAAGGGUGCGGUAAGAGCGCACCGCGUUCCCGGCAACGGGGACGGCACGGCAAACCCCACCGGGAGCAAGACCAAGUAGGGACGGCACGCCACACUCGUUCCUUCGCGAGCGGGUUUGGCGGGCGGGUUUCCGCGCCGCCGUCCGGGUCGGUCGCGUGAGGCGUCCGGCAACGGGCGUCCCAGAUGAAUGGCCAUCCAUCGCGCCGUCCGCCUUGGCGGCCGGCGUGGGGACAGAACCCGGCUUACAGGCCGUCUGGCACC